rnacentral:misc_RNA from 1 species
AAAGUGCGAAAUGUGUCAUGACUUGCAGAUUCCCGAGAGCUGACAAAUCUCUGAAUGCAAAUGGCAGCUGAAUAAGACCAGCUAUGUAUUGUAGAGUGUAGAUGCUCCAGCUAAUCAUCAUUCUGUUGCUUCAUUGGAACGAAUGGAUCUGCACUUGCGAAUGCGAGUGUCAAAAGCAAAGGUCUGUGUGUACAUUCGUGUAUGCACAAGCACCGAUGGAUUCUGUAACAAGAGUAUAUCGAGUGUGACAAUGACCUCCAACUUUUAUGAGCCACAUCUACAAUGCAUGAUAACCCGCUGAACUUAA